rnacentral:lncRNA from 1 species
UAUACCCACCUCAUAGCCUAAAGGUCGCAUGCUAUUGUAAAACAAAAGACGCGUUUGUAUCAUCAUUACUGUGUGUCUUAAUUUGUUUCCAUCAGCAGUAGCAGGAUCAAUGUCUAGUGAUUGACACUUGUUAAUUAGAAAAGAUGCGAACUUUGCAAUGUCUUCCGGAAGCUUUUUUUCUUGUUGAAUUGUCUCUCUGAUAAAAUUGAUCAUGCAAGUUUAUUGACUCUAAUGCUCCAUUCCAUUUUCAUAAGAGAAAGGAAGUCUGGUGUCUCUUUCUUCAUUGUUUCAUCUCUUUCCUUAAUUGAAAUGCCAAGUUUAGAUAAAACUAUUCUCAUUAUAUCAAAAUCCGACUUAACAGCUGUGCUUGGAUGCUUGAGUUCCCCAUCUUUGUCUGUGCAAAUUUC